CGAGUCCGAGGAGCUAAGGCUCCAAAGUGAUGCGAGUCAGACUUCCCGGAAAAGCCCGAACCACGUUAAUUUCUAAUUACCUGUACCCGAAACCGACACAGGUGGGUAGGUAGAGUAUACUAAGGGGCGCGAGAUAACUCUCUCUAAGGAACUCGGCAAAAUGACUCCGUAACUUCGGGAGAAGGAGUGCCUUAUUUAUAAGGUUGCAAUAACAAGAUCCAAGCAACUGUUUAUCAAAAACACAGGUCUCCGCUAAGUCGUAAGACGAUGUAUGGGGGCUGACGCCUGCCCAGUGCCAGAAGGUUAAAGAAGUUGGUUAGUGUAUGCGAAGCUGAUGACUGAAGCCCUGGUGAACGGCGGCCGUAACUAUAACGGUCCUAAGGUAGCGAAAUUCCUUGUCGGGUAAGUUCCGACCCGCACGAAAGGCGUAAUGAUUUGGAUACUGUCUCGGAGAGAGGCUCGGUGAAAUAGACUUGUCUGUGAAGAUGCGGACUACCUGCACCAGGACAGAAAGACCCUAUGAAGCUUUACUGUAACUUGAAAUUGGAAUUGGACUUUGCUUGCGCAGUAUAGGUGGGAAGCGUUGAAGAUAUUCUUGCGGGAGUAUUGGAGCUAUCAGUGAGAUACCACUCUUGUAAUGUUAGAUUUCUAACUUUGAACCAUAAUCUGGUCAAAGAACAGUUUCAGGUGGGCAGUUUGACUGGGGCGGUCGCCUCCCAAAUGGUAACGGAGGUUACAAAGGUUUCCUCUGAACGGAUAGAAAUCGUAUCUAGAGUGUAAAGGCAUAAGGAAGCUUGACUGUGAGACCUACAAGUCGAGCAGGGACGAAAGUCGGUCUUAGUGAUCUGACGGUACUGAGUGGAAAGGCCGUCACUCAACGGAUAAAAGUUACUCUAAGGAUAACAGGCUGAUCUCCCCCAAGAGUUCACAUCGACGGGGAGGUUUGGCACCUCGAUGUCGGCUCAUCGCAUCCUGGGGCGGUAGUACGUCCCAAGGGUUGGGCUGUUCGCCCAUGAAAGCGGUACGCGAGCUGGGUUCAGAACGUCGUGAGACAGUUCGGUCCAUAUCCGGUGUAGGCGUUAGAAUAUUGAGAGGAGCCUUCUUUAGUACGAGAGGACCGAGAAGGACACACCGCUGGUGUACCAGUUAUCAUGCCAACGGUAAACGCCGGGUAGCUAUGUGUGGAGUGGAUAACCGCUGAAAGCAUCUAAGUGGGAAGCCCACCUCAAGAU
rnacentral:rRNA from 1 species